rnacentral:lncRNA from 1 species
UCUCAGAGUGUCUGAAUUGCAAAGACAUCAGGGAAUUUAGCACAAAUUAUUAUUUAUUCAAUUUCUUUUGACAAAAGAAUGCUUUUCAGAGGGUGGCAACAAGAGCAAUGUUGACUGCUGCUUGGGACGGCAAAUGGACCAGAGUAAAACUGCUUGCUUUGCCUGAUGCUGCUCUGGAAAAAGGAGCACAUCCAAAGGAACUCAGAUAGGAAGGCUAAGUUCAAGAGGCCCAUGGUGAGCUCAAUCUGUGCAGCAUCUGCUUUCUGUGAAAGAUGUGGCUCCAGCUCCUGUGCCAGGACUGAAGGGUGCCCAGACACAAGUGGAGAAGGGUGCCCACUUGGAGAAAACUUCAGCAGCAGCAGGGAGAGGAA